rnacentral:rRNA from 1 species
AUUGAACGCUGGCGGCAGGCCUAACACAUGCAAGUCGAGCGGAUGAAGGGAGCUUGCUCCUGGAUUCAGCGGCGGACGGGUGAGUAAUGCCUAGGAAUCUGCCUGGUAGUGGGGGAUAACGUCCGGAAACGGGCGCUAAUACCGCAUACAUCCUGAGGGAGAAAGUGGGGGAUCUUCGGACCUCACGCUAUCAGAUGAGCCUAGGUCGGAUUAGCUAGUUGGUGGGGUAAAGGCCUACCAAGGCGACGAUCCGUAACUGGUCUGAGAGGAUGAUCAGUCACACUGGAACUGAGACACGGACCAGACUCCUACGGGAGGCAGCAGUGGGGAAUAUUGGACAAUGGGCGAAAGCCUGAUCCAGCCAUGCCGCGUGUGUGAAGAAGGUCUUCGGAUUGUAAAGCACUUUAAGUUGGGAGGAAGGGCAGUAAGUUAAUACCUUGCUGUUUUGACGUUACCAACAGAAUAAGCACCGGCUAACUUCGUG